CGAGCAGCCACCAACGAGAUGGACUUGUGGUCUCAUGAUGACAGCGGCUUUACUAUUGGAUCAAAUAUUUGCCAGUAUCUUUUUUCGUCCUAUAAUGUCGAUCAGUUUAACAACAAAUACGUUCACGGGUAUUACCAGGUAUGCGGAGGCCCCUGGGAAUACACAUUCCAGGAUUCCCAACAGAUGCUUUGCUGCAACAUGGGAAUACAUGAACAUUGCAUCACCCGGAACUAAGCCCGCGCUGCAAUCGAUGUUGUAAUUGUUAUUAUGUAUUAUGAUUUUUGUUAUUAUAAUUUUCAUUAUUAUUAUUUUUUGGUGUUGAUCUUAUCAGUUAUUACGAGUGUAUGAGUCUUUGUGAAUAUUUUAUAAAAGUUUAAUUAAUGAUCAAAAAUUUUUUUUUUUUCAUUCACAUACGUACGUGCACUUGGUAUAUUAUGCAAGCUAUUUUUUUCUUUUUUUUUUUUUUUUUUUUGGUAUCGACAGAGUGCCUUGCCGUUUAAAAGUAUUUUGGUUUAUAUAGAUGCAAAAAAGUAUUUGAAAAAUUACCAUGCGAGUUCUGUAUCAAUCUUUGUUCUUAUGUUUCUUUAGAGAAUAAAUACUGUUGAGAAAAUAAUAACUACAUUCAGUGAUGUUUGUUUAUUCAGAAAAAUUACUUUGAUUAUAUCUAUGAUCAAACAAUAUAUUCCUAUUUGUAAUGUCAUUUGAAUCGUGGAUGUUUUACUGCAGAUAUUCACAAAAACAAUUAAAUAUCUCAUAUUUCC